rnacentral:rRNA from 1 species
AACACAUGCAAGUCGGACGGCAGCACAAGAGGGGUAACCCUCUGGGUGGCGAGUGGCGGACGGGUGAGUAACGCGUAGGGAUCUGCCUAUUAGAGGGGGAUAAGCCGUGGAAACGCGGCGUAAUACCGCAUACGCUCUGAGGAGGAAAGGUUGGAACUGCCGAAAGGUGGCCAAUCGCUAAUAGAUGAACCUGCGUUAGAUUAGCUAGUUGGUAGGGUAAAGGCCUACCAAGGGGAUGAUCUAUAGCUGGUCUGAGAGGAUGACCAACCACACUGGAACUGAGUUACGGGCCAGAGUCCUACGGGUGGCAGCAGUGGGGAAUAUUGUACAAUGGGCGCAAGCCUGAUCCAGCCAUGCCGCGUGAGUGAUGACGGCCUUCGGGUUGUAAAGCUCUUUUGUCCGGGAAGAUAAUGACUGUACCGGAAGAAUAAGCCCCGGCAAACUUCGUGCCAGCCGCCGCGGUAA